rnacentral:tRNA from 1 species
CGGUGUAGCUCAGCGGUAGAGCAGCUGUUUCGUAAACAGCAGGUCGAGGGUUCGAUUCCCCCCGCC